AUGAAAGGACAGACAGGAGGCGUUACUGAAGCACAUAUCCAGCAUGACAGUAGGGCACAGAGAACUGUAAAAGCAAGUCCUGAGGUAAUGCCUCAAUUGUGCCAGUUCCAAUCAGACCGACCCGCGCUGGUGAAGGUGAGCUGUACAGCUGCAUUUGUGUUUGUCUGUGCUUUUCUAGUGCUUUCUGUCAGGUACAGUGCAAAUGUUUCUGAUAGAAAUUCUGGGCUGUCAAAGCUGUGGCACAGUGGGUAGUACACGUGUUCAUGAUACGUAAGAGCUGCAUGCUCACGAAGUUAGAGGCUUAUAUUUCUCUUGUGUCAAGAAAUGUACUAAACAAAAAUUUUAAUAUCUUACUCACCCUUAUUAAAUCUCAUUCUUACAACUUGCAACAUUCCAAAUCCUUAGAAGUCACAUGGUCACUGAGGAACAGCAAAACGUGGGUCAUUAUUGACUGAUAAUCAUCACUUCUGCUGGAGCUCUCAAAUUUCAUUCACACUUCUGCAUGUUCAAACUUGCUGCAGUAAAUAAGGCACAUACAUGAAUGUAUUUAAUCACUUUGGGGAUCUAUGCAUUACCAUUUUUCUAAUAAUAAUAAUAAAAAAAAAAGAUAAGAAAUGACUCCUCUAAAUCAAACCCAGCCACAGAUUUAUAUAUGAGUG
rnacentral:lncRNA from 12 species